rnacentral:rRNA from 1 species
CAUGCCGUAAACGAUGAUUACUAGGUGUGGGAGGAUUGACCCCUUCCGUGCCGCAGUUAACACAAUAAGUAAUCCACCUGGGGAGUACGACCGCAAGGUUGAAACUCAAAGGAAUUGACGGGGGCCCGCACAAGCAGUGGAGUAUGUGGUUUAAUUCGAAGCAACGCGAAGAACCUUACCAGGUCUUGACAUCGGAUGCAUACCUAAGAGAUUAGGGAAGUCCUUCGGGACAUCCAGACAGGUGG